CCUACGGGAGGCAGCAGUGGGGAAUCUUGCGCAAUGGGCGAAAGCCUGACGCAGCGACGCCGCGUGAGUGAUGAAGGCCUUCGGGUUGUAAAGCUCUGUGGAGGGGGACGAAUAAGGGUUGGCUAACAUCCAGCUCGAUGACGGUACCCCUUUAGCAAGCACCGGCUAACUCUGUGCCAGCAGCCGCGGUAAGACAGAGGGUGCAAACGUUGUUCGGAAUUACUGGGCGUAAAGCGCAUGUAGGCGGUUCGUAAAGUCAGAUGUGAAAGCCCUGGGCUUAACCCAGGAAGUGCAUUUGAAACUCACGAACUUGAGUCCCGGAGAGGAAGGCGGAAUUCUCGGUGUAGAGGUGAAAUUCGUAGAUAUCGAGAGGAACAUCGGUGGCGAAGGCGGCCUUCUGGACGGUGACUGACGCUGAGAUGCGAAAGCGUGGGGAGCAA
rnacentral:rRNA from 1 species